UCUUCGUUAUUUUCAGUGCUCCUUUUUUUUUUUCACAGGGGGGAAAGCCUGUAAAAGCCUUAGCACUCUCUCUACUCCCAUAAAAAGCCAUAGAAGAAGACAACAUCAUCUCCCAAAACCCACCAGCUUUUCAUUAUUUUAUUCCCCAUAUGACCUGUCCAUCAUGUGCUUUCCUUACUAUUGCUUCUCCUCAUCUUCUCCAGUCUCCUCUCAUACCAGGUCUCUUGGUUAUAAACUCUUCUUCCACUUCAAUUAACAUUAUUGUUUCUUGUAUGUGAGAUACGGGAGAGGUUGAGAACCUGAUCAGAGCUUUGCUGCCUAGUGGGUUUUAUUAGAGAGAGAGAAAGUAAGUGUUUGGAAUGAGGUUUGAUCCAAGAUCCUUCCGUAUGUUCAUCUAUGCUUUGAUUCCAUAUUGUGGUUUCUUCUUGUGGAAUGAUCUCGGACCAGGCUUCAUUCCUCACACGAGGCUUUCCAUCAAAAGAAAAGAGCUAGGUCUUAUGGUUUAUAUGCCAAUGAAGCACAGCCAUGAAGCUCUAGAACAUGCUUUGUUCUUGGAUCAAAAGGAACUGAGCUUCAACUUUAUGUGUGAAAAUCCUUGCAAGCAUCACAAGCUAUAGGUCUUGCCCAGCCAUGAGCACCUUAAGUUUACUGAUCUCUCUCUCUCUCUCUCUCUCUCUCUCUCUCUCUCUCUCUCUCUCUCUCUCUCUCUCUGUGUUUUGGGAUAGGGGGUUUGGUUGUUAGAUGGGUGUAUGCAUGUGUUUGUGGGCGAUGGUGGGCGGGAAUGUGCAUGAGGCUUUGGACAUGACACUGCACCUGCAUAGAGGGAUAGGAAUGGGUUGGGUUAAAGGGGAUUUUGUUUCUUUUUUCCUGUAAACCAGGUACCAGGAUUUUUCCUGUGGCCCAUAAUCAUAUGUGUUGAAAUGAAAUAAUCCUCUUCCUUUA